UACAGAGGUCUCAAGCGUUGUUCGGAUUCAUUGGGCGUAAAGGGUGCGUAGGUGGCGCGCUAAGUCAGGUGUGAAAUUUCGGAGCUUAACUCCGAAACUGCAUUUGAUACUGGCGUGCUUGAGGACUGGAGAGGAGACUGGAAUUCAUGGUGUAGCAGUGAAAUGCGUAGAGAUCAUGAGGAAGACCAGUGGCGAAGGCGGGUCUCUGGACAGUUCCUGACGCUGAAGCACGAAGGCCAGGGGAGCAAACGGG
rnacentral:rRNA from 1 species